rnacentral:rRNA from 1 species
UACGGAGGGUGCAAGCAUUAAUCGGAUUUAUUGGGCGUAAAGGGCGCGUAGGCGGAGAUAAUAGUCAGAUGUGAAAUCCUGGGGCUCAACCUCAGAACUGCAUUUGAAACUGUAUCUCUAGAGGGUAGGAGGAGAAAACGGAAUUCCACAAGUAGCGGUGAAAUGCGUAGAUAUGUGGAAGAACACUGGUGGCGAAGGCGGU